GCUCAGUAACACGUGGAUACCUGCCCUAGGGAAGGGGAUAACCCCGGGAAACUGGGGAUAAUACCCUAUAGAUUACAGAUGCUGGAAUGCCCUGUAAUCCAAAGUUCCGACGCCCUAGGAUGGAUCUGCGGCCGAUUAGGUUGUUGUUGGGGUAAUGGCCCAACAAGCCCGUAAUCGGUACGGGUUGUGGGAGCAAGAGCCCGGAGUUGGAUUCUGAGACACGAAUCCAGGCCCUACGGGGCGCAGCAGGCGCGAAACCUUUACAAUGCGGGCAACCGUGAUAAGGGAACCUCGAGUGCCUGUAAACGCAGGCUGUUCAGGUGUUUAAAACGCACCUGGAGAAAGGGCCGGGCAAGACCGGUGCCAGCCGCCGCGGUAAUACCGGCGGCUCGAGUGGUGGCCGCUUUUAUUGGGCUUAAAGCGUCCGUAGCUGGGCAGUUAAGUCUCUGGGGAAAUCUUCCGGCUCAACCGGAAGGCGUCUCAGGGAUMUGGCUGCCUUGGGAUCGGGAGAGGUGAGAGGUMUCUGGGGGUAGGAAGUUGAAA
rnacentral:rRNA from 1 species